rnacentral:rRNA from 1 species
AGUGAACGCUGGCGGUAGGCCUAACACAUGCAAGUCGAACGGCAGCACAGUAAGAGCUUGCUCUUACGGGUGGCGAGUGGCGGACGGGUGAGGAAUACAUCGGAAUCUACUUUUUCGUGGGGGAUAACGUAGGGAAACUUACGCUAAUACCGCAUACGACCUACGGGUGAAAGCAGGGGAUCUUCGGACCUUGCUCGAUUGAAUGAGCCGAUGUCGGAUUAGCUAGUUGGCGGGGUAAAGGCCCACCAAGGCGACGAUCCGUAGCUGGUCUGAGAGGAUGAUCAGCCACACUGGAACUGAGACACGGUCCAGACUCCUACGGGAGGCAGCAGUGGGGAAUAUUGGAAAAUGGGCGCAAGCCUGAUCCAGCCAUACCGCGUGGGUGAAGAAGGCCUUCGGGUUGUAAAGCCCUUUUGUUGGGAAAGAAAAGCAGCAGGUUAAUACCCAGCUGUUCUGAAGGUACCCAAAGAAUAAGCACCGGCUAACUUCGUG